UACAGGCCUGAGCCUGCAUCGCAAAUGGCAGGAGACAGGCAGGUGAGGCGCGUCUCAGCUCAGGUGCGGCUGCAGUGCGGCGAAAUGGGCACAGGGGGGCAGUGUGGCCCCGUGUGGCUCUGCAGCCCUCUACCGCGGAAGGAGGCCUGGCCGGGGCUGGCACCCAGGCUCCAGCAGAGCCCCGGCCUGGUGAGGGGCUGUCCGGCCACCUUCCUCCCCUCCCAGCUCAGGCCCUGUCCUACAGAACCUGGCUCUCGGGGGAGUAAAGUUCCUGCAACAUUUACUGAGUGUGAAUUUUCUCAUGGCAAACACUGUCCUGGGUUAUUUCGUUUGAUCUUCACACCAAUCCGAGGCAGGCAUGUUAUUCCCCUUCUAGAAAGAGGAAGCCGCAGCUCAGGGAAGCUGAUGAACUUCCUGGCAGGUGGCAGGGCCACGACUGAGACUCAAGUCUGUCUGACUCCAAGCCAAGUCGUCUUCACGUUCAGCCACUGCUCCUUUAUACAGCAUCUUGGAAAAUAAAGAAAAAUCUGUUCCUUAUUCUCUGGUCGCCAUCCAGACUGAAGAUGCCGCAUCACCCUCACUGAGUCAUCACCUCUGCUUUCAAAGCCUCGUUCCUUCCUCCUGGCUCUUCCGGGGACUCACACAAACCUUGGGACUGGAAGGGACCUGAGAAGUUUUCUGAGCCCGCCGUGGCUUGGGUCUCCCUGGAUGGCCUACAUUUUUAGGCGAUCUCUGCAUGACCCUCUCUCUCCUUCUGAGAUCAAGAACGAGCUCCCUUCAGUUUCAGAGACUUUAAGGAAAACUAUACAGAAAGGAGCUCUUUUGUAAAGGAUCAGAAGAAGAGAAAACGAUAGGGGUUUGUUUCUUGCUGGCCUGCCCUCUUCCUCACACGUCUCUGUUCCUGCAUGAAGCAGCACUGUGUGGACAAAUGCCAGGGCGGUCAUCCACAGAUCUGGAGUUGGCUGUCCCUCGUGGAUGGGGCCCAGAGGCUCCCACCUGCAGCACUGACGGCCAUUGGGGUCCUUUCCACAGAACCACUGAGGGUCUGUCUCAUCUGUGGGCUCGUAAGGAAGACAUUGGUGAGCCUGAAAUGGGAGUUGGAGAGAAGACAGAUUAUAACAUUAUUUAGCAGCAUGUGGGCCACCAGCACAGCACGACUGCUAAGAGUGGUGUAGGUCGAUGCCUGGGAACUGAAUCCAGGCCACCAAAGCGGAGCACACUGAACUUAACCACUAGGCCCCAUUGCGGCUGGCCCCAAGAUAACUGUUAUUUUUAACUGAAUUUUGUUGCCAAACAAAGAAUGAUGCUUCUUUUCUCUGGGAUGAACAUAAAUCAACAUAAACCAAAAUUGUAUUUUUCUGCAGAGAUUAUGCUAUAAACUGGUAGAAAAGUCAACUGUCAGCUUACACUACUCACCAGGAGGGCAGCAUGAGCCCUGAGAAGGGGUGAAAGCACAGGUCCCUCGUGAACGUCCCCAUCAGGGCACGACAGGUCCUGCAUACCAUGUGCCCACGGGACAGCAUGCAGGCACAACUCCUAAUUAGCAAGGACCCAUUUCCAUGUUAGUUCAAAAAAUUUUGGUGAAGUUGAUAAUUCUAAUGCUUUUAAAAUUCCUUUCAAGAAUGUAUUUUUCUUUGCUGGAAUAACCUAAAUAAAUAUUUUAAUAAAUUAGAUUUAAUGGAAUGAAGAAUUGUGAACAAAACGAAGAUAGAGUUGUCUCUGGGGAACAGAUAACAAUUAGAGAAACUUUUGAAUAAAAUAAAGUGAUAGUUUAAAAUGAGGUGAGGUGAGAAGAGCCUGAACACAUGAAGAAUGACUGAUUUUAAUUGGCUGUAGAGUGCUUUGCCUGGUCUCUUUAAAAAAGAGACAAAAUCUAAGUCUUAAAAUGUUCAAACAAAACAAAAACUCAAAAAUGUAUUUAAAGGCUUGAACCCGGGCCUCUGUAUACGAAAGGGGUGUUUGUAGCAAGCUAGUAAAACCAAGGAAGUUUUGACCUAGAUUAUUCCUUCCCCUCAUCCAUUCACUAAGUCAACAAAUCUUUCUCGAGCACCUGGGCAAGGCCAUCAAACCCUUGGCAACACAGAGCAUAAUCUAUUGGUGCAUGUCCACACAUGCUGAGUUCCUCCCGCGCAGACUUGCCAAGGCCAGUGGUUUCCACUGUGCUCCCUUUGAGGCCCACCCACCUCCUCACUGCGCUCCUGCUGCCUCCUGGUCCCCUCCCUCAUUCACUGAGUACUUUGGCACCUGAUUUAGCUUUCCUCUCCAG
ensembl:lncRNA